rnacentral:rRNA from 1 species
GGUAACGUAUGGCGCGAGCGUUAUUCGAAUUAUUGGGCGUAAAGAGUACGUAGGUGGUUUUGUAAGCGUGGUGUGAAAGACCGAAGCUUAACUUCGGUUAGCCUUGCGAACUGCAAGACUUGAGUGCCAGGAAGAGGAAAGUGGAAUUCCUAGUGUCGCCGGUGAAAUGCGUACAUAUUAGGAGGAACACCAGUGGCAGAAGGCUACUUUCUGGACUGUAACUGACACUGAAGUACGAAAGCGUGGGUAGCAAACAGGAUUAGAUACCCUGGUAGUCCACGCUGUAAACGAUGAGUGCUAGGUGUUGGCCAGCGAUGGUCAGUGCCGAAGUUAACACAAUAAGCACUCCGCCUGGGGAGUACGGUCGCAAGACUGAAACUCAAAGGAAUUGACGGGGACCCGCACAAGCAGCGGAGCAUGUGGUUUAAUUCGAAGCAACGCGAAGAACCUUACCAAGGUUUGACAUCCCCUUGACAGAUGCAGAGAUGUGUCCUCCCCUUCGGGGGCAAGGGAGACAGGUGGUGCAUGGUUGUCGUCAGCUCGUGUCGUGAGAUGUUGGGUUAAGUCCCGCAACGAGCGCAACCCUUAUUCUUAGUUGCCAGCAAGUUAAGUUGGGCACUCUAAGGAGACUGCCGAUGAUAAUCGGAGGAAGGUGGGGAUGACGUCAAAUCAUUAUGCCCCUUAUAUCUUGGGCUACACACGUGCUACAAUGGUCGGUACAAAGGGCAGCGAAGGAGUGAUCUGGAGCAAAUCCCAAUAAGCCGAUCCCAGUUCGGAUUGUAGGCUGCAACUCGCCUACAUGAAGUCGGAGUUGCUAGUAAUCGCGAAUCAAAACGUCCCGGUGAAUGCGUUCCCGGUCU